rnacentral:rRNA from 1 species
UACGGGGGGAGCAAGCGUUGUUCGGAUUUACUGGGCGUAAAGGGCGCGUAGGCGGUCGUGACAAGUCACUUGUGAAAUCUCCGGGCUUAACUCGGAACGGUCAAGUGAUACUGUCGGACUAGAGUACAGAAGGGGCAACUGGAAUUCUCGGGUGUAGCGGUGAAAUGCGUAGAUAUCGAGAGGAACACCUGCGGCGAAGGCGGGUUGCUGGGCUGACACUGACGCUGAAGUGCGAAAGCUAGGGGAGCGAACGGG